AUGCAGUCGAGCGAAUGGAUUAGAGCUUGCUCUUAUGAAGUUAGCGGCGGACGGGUGAGUAACACGUGGGUAACCUGCCCAUAAGACUGGGAUAACUCCGGGAAACCGGGGCUAAUACCGGAUAACAUUUUGAACCGCAUGGUUCGAAAUUGAAAGGCGGCUUCGGCUGUCACUUAUGGAUGGACCCGCGUCGCAUUAGCUAGUUGGUGAGGUAACGGCUCACCAAGGCAACGAUGCGUACCCGACCUGAGAGGGUGAUCGGCCACACUGGGACUGAGACACGGCCCAGACUCCUACGGGAGGCAGCAGUAGGGAAUCUUCCGCAAUGGACGAAAGUCUGACGGAGCAACGCCGCGUGAGUGAUGAAGGCUUUCGGGUCGUAAAACUCUGUUGUUAGGGAAGAACAAGUGCUAGUUGAAUAAGCUGGCACCUUGACGGUACCUAACCAGAAAGCCACGGCUAACUACGUGCCAGCAGCCGCGGUAAUACGUAGGUGGCAAGCGUUAUCCGGAAUUAUUGGGCGUAAAGCGCGCGCAGGUGGUUUCUUAAGUCUGAUGUGAAAGCCCACGGCUCACCCGUGGAGGGUCAUUGGAAACUGGGAGACUUGAGUGCAGAAGAGGAAAGUGGAAUUCCAUGUGUAGCGGUGAUAUGCGUAGAGAUAUGGAGGAACACCAGUGGCGAAGGCGACUUUCUGGUCUGUAACUGACACUGAGG
rnacentral:rRNA from 1 species